rnacentral:rRNA from 1 species
GAUGAACGCUGGCGGCGUGCCUAAUACAUGCAAGUCGAGCGAACAGACGAGGAGCUUGCUCCUUUGACGUUAGCGGCGGACGGGUGAGUAACACGUGGAUAACCUACCUAUAAGACUGGGAUAACUUCGGGAAACCGGAGCUAAUACCGGAUAACAUGUUGAACCGCAUGGUUCAACAGUGAAAGACGGUCUUGCUGUCACUUAUAGAUGGAUCCGCGCCGCAUUAGCUAGUUGGUAAGGUAACGGCUUACCAAGGCAACGAUGCGUAGCCGACCUGAGAGGGUGAUCGGCCACCCUGGAACUGAGCCACGGUCCAGACGCCUACGGGAGGCAGCAGUAGGGAAUCGUCCGCAAUGGGCGAAAGCCUGACGGAGCAACGCCGAGUGAGUGAAGACGGUCUUCGGAUCGGAAAACUCUGUUAUUAGGGAAGAACAAAUGUGUAAGUAAAUAUGCACGUCUUGACGGUAACUAAUCAGAAAGCCACGGCUAACUACGUG